rnacentral:rRNA from 1 species
GAUUCUGGCUCAGGAUGAACGCUGGCGGCGUGCCUAAUACAUGCAAGUCGAGCGAGAGUCAGUUGAUCGGAGAUUCGUCAAAGUGAAGCUGAGGAAAGCGGCGGACGGGUGAGUAACGCGUAGGCAACCUGCCCUUAGCAGAGGGAUAGCCAUUGGAAACGAUGAUUAAAACCUCAUAAUGCUGUUGAAACACAUGUUACGACAGCCAAAGAUUUAUCGGCUAAGGAUGGGCCUGCGUCUGAUUAACUAGUUGGUGAGGUAACGGCUCACCAAGGUGACGAUCAGUAGCCGACCUGAGAGGGUGAUCGGCCACAUUGGAACUGAGACACGGUCCAAACUUCUACGGAAGGCAGCAGUAAGGAAUCUUGCACAAUGGGGGAAACCCUGAUGCAGCAACGCCGCGUGAACGAUGAAGGCCUUAGGGUUGUAAAGUUCUGAUCUGUGGGAAGAAGAAGUGACGGUACCACAGGAGAAAGCCCCGGCUAAAUACGUGCCAGCCGCGGC